rnacentral:rRNA from 7 species
CGGAGGGAAACCGAGUCUUAAUUGGGCGUUAAGUUGCAGGGUAUAGACCCGAAACCCGGUGAUCUAGCCAUGGGCAGGUUGAAGGUUGGGUAACACUAACUGGAGGACCGAACCGACUAAUGUUGAAAAAUUAGCGGAUGACCUGUGGCUGGGGGUGAAAGGCCAAUCAAACCGGGAGAUAGCUGGUUCUCCCCGAAAGCUAUUUAGGUAGCGCCUCGUGAAUUCAUCUCCGGGGGUAGAGCACUGUUUCGGCUAGGGGGCCAUCCCGGCUUACCAACCCGAUGCAAACUGCGAAUACCGGAGAAUGUUAUCACGGGAGACACACGGCGGGUGCUAACGUCCGUCGUGAAGAGGGAAACAACCCAGACCGCCAGCUAAGGUCCCAAAGUCAUGGUUAAGUGGGAAACGAUGUGGGAAGGCCCAGACAGCCAGGAUGUUGGCUUAGAAGCAGCCAUCAUUUAAAGAAAGCGUAAUAGCUCACUGGUCGAGUCGGCCUGCGCGGAAGAUGUAACGGGGCUAAACCAU